AAUAGAUGACAUCGUUGACUUUUUCUCACAUGUUUGAUCAUUCGUCUUAUUCAAAAAUUUUACAUAAUUAUAAUUUAUUUUGUUAUGAGUUGUUUUAUCACUCAUAGUACUUUAAGUGUGAUUUAUAUCUUAUACAUUUGCAUAAAUUUUUUAAAUAAGACGAAUAGUCAAACAUGUGAGAAAAAGUCAACGGCGUCAUCUAUU
rnacentral:pre_miRNA from 1 species